GACGAACGCUGGCGGCGUGCUUAGCACAUGCAAGUCGAACGGAAAGGCCCUGCUUUUGUGGGAUGCUCGAGUGACGAACGGGUGAGUAACACGUGAGUAACCUGCCCUUGACUUUGGGAUAACUUCAGGAAACUGGGGCUAAUACCGGAUAGGAGCUCCUGCUGCAUGGUGGGGGUUGGAAAGUUUCGGCGGUUGGGGAUGGACUCGCGGCUUAUCAGCUUGUUGGUGGGGUAGUGGCUUACCAAGGCUUUGACGGGUAGCCGGCCUGAGAGGGUGACCGGCCACAUUGGGACUGAGAUACGGCCCAGACUCCUACGGGAGGCAGCAGUGGGGAAUAUUGCACAAUGGGCGGAAGCCUGAUGCAGCAACGCCGCGUGCGGAAUGACGGCCUUCGGGUUGUAAACCGCUUUCGCCUGUGACGAAGCGUGAGUGACGGUAAUGGGUAAAGAAGCACCGGCUAACUACGUG
rnacentral:rRNA from 1 species